rnacentral:rRNA from 1 species
UACCAGCACCCCGAGUGGUCGGGACGAUUAUUGGGCCUAAAGCAUCCGUAGCCGGUUCUGCAAGUCUUCCGUUAAAUCCACCUGCUCAACAGAUGGGCUGCGGAGGAUACUACAGGGCUAGGAGGCGGGAGAGGCAAGCGGUACUCGAUGGGUAGGGGUAAAAUCCGUUGAUCCAUUGAAGACCACCAGUGGCGAAGGCGGCUUGCCAGAACGCGCUCGACGGUGAGGGAUGAAAGCUGGGGGAGCAAACCGG